rnacentral:rRNA from 1 species
CCUACGGGAGGCAGCAGUGAGGAAUAUUGGUCAAUGGACGAAAGUCUGAACCAGCCAAGUAGCGUGAAGGAUGACUGCACUCUGGGUUGUAAACUUCUUUUAUAAAGGAAUAAAACGAGGCAAGUGUGCCUUUUUGCGUGUACUUUAUGAAUAAGGAUCGGCUAACUCCGUGCCAGCAGCCGCGGUAGUACGGAGGAUCCGAGCGUUAUCCGGAUUUAUUGGGUUUAAAGGGAGCGUAGAUGGGUAGUUAAGUCAGUUGUGACAGUGUGCGGCUCAACCGUGAAAUUGCAAUUGAUACUGGCAGUCUUGAGUACAGGUGAGGUAGGCGGAAUUCGUGGUGUAGCGGUGAAAUGCUUAGAUAUAACGAAGAACACCGAUUGCGAAGGCAGCUUACUAAACUGUGACUGACAUUGAUGCUCGAAAGUGUGGGUAUCAAACAGGAUUAGAGACCCUGGUAGUC